AUGUGCAGCGGUGCUCAGAGCACAACCUGCCUCUUGCCUCAGGACCUGGCACUGCAGGCGGUGGGUGAGCCAAGUACACAGUGCCCUGCACUUGUUGGAGGUCCUGGCAUGGAGCUGCCCGCUCAUGAAUUUCUGGAUGUUCCAGUGAUGCCUCAGCGUGCCUCCCCAGGUGCAGCUGCACCUCGGGAAGGUGAGUGCCCUGCACGUCCCAUCACCCAGCUCCAUGCAGGUGUCCUGGACGCCUUCACGUGUUUCUACAAUGGAGCCUGAAUCCCAUGUUAAGGCACCUGUAUCACUUCUGGGCAAAAUCAGCAGAGGCUGACGGGAUAUAUUUCAUUAAAACUACUUUUCACGGAAAAUGGUGUUUCUAAGUGAGCUCUUGGUUUGCUUGUUUUUUGCAUCUUGCACUGGGUACUUUCAGAGGGAAAGGUCAACUUCAGAGGAAGGUGGAUUGCCACAAGAUGGAAAUAUUUGUUGGAAACAAAAAGUCUUUCAGUAUUUGAAUUGUCACUGUAAAUGGACAGAUUUCUGUUGGCUAAGAGAAACAGACAAUUUUCAAACUGCUCUGUAAUGUGUCCUUCCCAGCAGUGUCAAUGCCAGCAGUGAUUGCUGUCCAACGCAGCUAUGUCUGAGAGUGGUUGCAAUACAAACAUUCGUCAGCACUGACCCAGAUAACCUGUGCUGUUGAACAAAUUACACAGGAUAACAUCAUUAUCUCCUUAUUCUGAGGCCUAAAAGUUACAUGCCUAUAUGAAGUUUGGCAUAAUUCUGUGAUUCUAUGAUAAUUUCCAUUCGACAGCAACAGGUGAAGGGAAAAAGCAGCCUUCUCCAGGAGAUACUUUUUUUUAACUUAAAAUAGAUACACCAAAUGAGCAAGAAGAGUCACUCAGUAUGUGCUAUUUCUCUCUACCAGCCGCAGAGGAACCUACUUAAGGUCCCGUAAGUCCACAAGGGUAGACCAGUUCUCUUUUUUGUACAGUGAAUAGCAAAAUAGGGGUGUAUGCUAUUGCCAUAUCUUGAAAUAAGUUAAAAUGAGUUGUUGCCACUUUUUUUUUUUUUUUUUUUUUUUGUAGACAUAAAUGCAAGGUCUGUAUCUCUACAAAUCUAAUGCAGAUUGA
rnacentral:lncRNA from 1 species